GGUACAGCCAUGGUCUCCCAACUGGGUAGGACCCUGCUUGCCAUUCCAGCUUAGCAGCAGCUGCAAUCACAGCGCGCGCCCCCCGAUAGUGGGGAAUUGGUUGUGUACACAGGUGAUGUCGGGGGCUCAGGCAGUCCCACAAUCACCCCUGAAAGCCUGGAAGAGGGUCAUAAAGUUCCCAAGGGCCAGAAUAUGUGGCCCAGAUGUAGUGAGUUUUGACAGUCCCCAACAGCUCCAGGGUUCAAGGAGCUCAGUGCCAGUGUGGGUGGAUGAAACCCCCUAAUAUAUUCAAGUCUGGUUCAAGGAGCUGGUCCUAGAAGAGGUUCAGAAGCAAUGGAGAGGCCUUCUUGCCAGCACAGGAGAGAUACCCCAAAGCCAGGAAAAGCCUCCAUUACAGAAGCCUCAGGGCUCCCCUGACUCUGCAGUGCAAGCUUCUGCAAAUAGGGGGUGAUGACCACUGAAAAGAAGCUGAGAGGCCCCUGUUCACUCCCGCGAGGGCUCUAAUCAGGAGUCUAGGCCAACCAGAUCAUCUGGGGUGUGGGGAGUGUAACAAGAUUAAUACACUCAAGUAGCAAUGAGCUUUUUUGUCUUGCUUGAAACCUACCACCUUCAGGGUGGGCAGCAUGGUUUGAAAACUGCCUACGGGCAUGUUUUGAGGUUUAUGUAAGCCCUUUCAAUGCACACGGCCUUGGAAUCUCUUUGGAUUUACUAUCCACAGACUUUCAAAGCAAGUGGUAGCUUUUGCUCCUCGCCCAUUUCUCCCCCACCUCACUGCUCUUCCUGCAAGUGCAACGAAUGCACCACCAGACCAAGGAUAAGUAAACUAAUGCCUUGCCUCUCUGAGAAGUCUCCUCAUCCCUUCUUUUUCUCUUCUUCCCCACCUUUAAGCACUUUUCUCUGCAAGCCUUAAGCCAGGCUCUGAUCUAAGCACCUUAGUGAAUCCGAUCUACCUUCAAUUUGGACUUUAAGAUAAAUUACUUUCAGCAAGAUUCUCGCUCAGAUAGGAAAACUGAUUCUCCAAGUCCCUGUCCAGUCAGCGUGAGAUAAUAUAAGUUUAGAUAAACUUGUCCCGUAUCUGCUGUCAUUGUGAGACCUGGGCUUUAGAAAAAUAAAAAGAGGAUUUUUGCCAUCCUGUGAUCCAGUUACGAUCUGACCAGAUUUUAUCUCCAAUAAAAGCUUUUUGUAAAUAUAGCCGCAUAGGGGCUGAGAUAUAAAUAUAAUCAGUUCUGGAGUAUGUUUGAUGUCUGUUUGAAUACAAUGUAUAGUUUCUUUCCAGUGGAUGUAGUUCUCUUCAUUUGUCCAAUAAAUUGAAUUUUUCAGUCAA